rnacentral:rRNA from 1 species
AGGAUGAACGCUGGCGGCGUGCCUAAAACAUGCAAGUCAUACGGUCUACCUUCGGGUAGACAGUGGCAAACGGGUGAGUAACACGUGGGAACACGCCUUCGAGUGGGGAAUAACGCUGAGAAAUCAGUGCUAAUACCGCAUAUGGUCUAACGACUAAAGCAGUAAUGCGCUCGGAGAGUGGCCCGCGUCCGAUUAGCUAGUUGGUGGGGUAAUGGCCUACCAAGGCGGUGAUCGGUAGCUGGUCUGAGAGGAUGGUCAGCCACACUGGGACUGCGAACGGCCCAGACUCCUACGGGAGGCAGCAGUUAGGAAUUUUCGGCAAUGGACGAAAGUCUGACCGAGCGACGCCGCGUGGAGGACGAAGCCUUUCGGGGUGUAAACUCCUUUUCUGCGGGAAGAUAAUGACGGUACCGCAGGAAUAAGCACCGGCUAACUACGUGCCAGCAGCCGC